AGUGAACGCUGGCGGUAGGCCUAACACAUGCAAGUCGAACGGCAGCACAGUAAGAGCUUGCUCUUACGGGUGGCGAGUGGCGGACGGGUGAGGAAUACAUCGGAAUCUACUUUUUCGUGGGGGAUAACGUAGGGAAACUUACGCUAAUACCGCAUACGACCUACGGGUGAAAGCAGGGGAUCUUCGGACCUUGCGCGAUUGAAUGAGCCGAUGUCGGAUUAGCUAGUUGGCGGGGUAAAGGCCCACCAAGGCGACGAUCGGUAGCUGGUCUGAGAGGAUGAUCAGCCACACGGGAACUGAGACAGGGUCCAGACGCCUAAGGGAGGGAGCAGUGGGGAAUAUUGGACAAUGGGCGCAAGCCUGAUCCAGCCAUACCGCGUGGGUGAAGAAGGCCUUCGGGUUGUAAAGCCCUUUUGUUGGGAAAGAAAAGCAGCAGGUUAAUACCCCGCUGUUCUGACGGUACCCAAAGAAUAAGCACCGGCUAACUUCGUG
rnacentral:rRNA from 1 species